UGUAAGGCUGACUAAGAAAUACGGUGGAGGU
rnacentral:piRNA from 1 species